rnacentral:rRNA from 1 species
GAUGAACGCUGACAGAAUGCUUAACACAUGCAAGUCAACUUGAAUUUGGGUUUUUUAACUUAGAUUUGGGUGGCGGACGGGUGAGUAACGCGUAAAGAACUUGCCUCACAGCUAGGGACAACAUUUGGAAACGAAUGCUAAUACCUGAUAUUAUGAUUAUAAGGCAUCUUAGAAUUAUGAAAGCUAUAUGCGCUGUGAGAGAGCUUUGCGUCCCAUUAGCUAGUUGGAGAGGUAACGGCUCACCAAGGCGAUGAUGGGUAGCCGGCCUGAGAGGGUGAACGGCCACAAGGGGACUGAGACACGGCCCUUACUCCUACGGGAGGCAGCAGUGGGGAAUAUUGGACAAUGGACCAAGAGUCUGAUCCAGCAAUUCUGUGUGCACGAUGACGUUUUUCGGAAUGUAAAGUGCUUUCAGUUGGGAAGAAAAAAAUGACGGUACCAACAGAAGAA